UUUUCCAAAAACAGUAAGAAAAUGUUGGUAUUAUUUUAUACUUUUCAAAUUUCUUCUCUGUUUUUCCAUUUGAUUUGUUAUAAUACGUUGUUUGGUUGGAACAUGGAAGGAAAUUUGGCUCCAUGAAGCCAUUAGAUGGAAAAAAGUGGCUCCUGUACAGACACCACGAAAGGAUCCUAGAGAUACCUGGGAUCUUCACAGCAGUAUUUGUGGGAACAAACUAAGAAAGGGAAAAAUAUAGAACAAGUUUGGUCCCACCAUCCCUAUCGAAAAAUACUUUAUCCGACUUCAAGUAAUUUACUUCAACCCUCUGCUCCUCAGUCUUCUCAUUUGCAAAAUGAAGAGAUCAGUGUUUCUCUCAACUGGACCCAUGAUGGAGUUUUGGGGAACAGUGAAGAUACAGUGGCUAAAUGACCUCAGAUCCUCUUCACUGUUCCUCGUGGUCAAUGAUAUCAUCUGAGAUUUUGAGUGUGGUAAAAUACAUCAUUUCCACUGAUUUCUCAAAAAC
rnacentral:lncRNA from 1 species